rnacentral:rRNA from 1 species
UACGGAGGGGACUAGCGUUGUUCGGAAUUACUGGGCGUAAAGCGCACGUAGGCGGAUUUGUAAGUCAGGGGUGAAAUCCCGGGGCUCAACCUCGGAACUGCCUUUGAUACUGCAAAUCUCGAGUCCGGAAGAGGUGAGUGGAAUUCCUAGUGUAGAGGUGAAAUUCGUAGAUAUUAGGAAGAACACCAGUGGCGAAGGCGGCUCACUGGUCCGGUACUGACGCUGAGACACGAAAGCGUGGGUAGCGAACAGG